GCGUCAGUGGUUUAGUGGUAAAAUCCAUCGUUGCCACGCAAUGUAAAUUCGAUGGGCCCCGCGUUCGAUUCGCGGCUGACGCA